GCUUCUGUGGAUCAAGGUAGAUCACCUCAGAAUUAUGGAGGCUCCGAACCUGAGUAUCCAUGAGGUGAUGUGGGUUCAAAUCCUACCAGAGGCA